CCGCUUAGAUCUGAUCCAACCCAUUUUAAAGGAUCCAUGGGGCUUUUUAAAAUUUGAUGUAUGUCAUCUUUUGGGUUCGAUCUAGAUUUACUGAAUUCAGACCUAAUCCAACCCAAACCCAAUAUAUCACUAAGACCAAACUUAUUUGAGUCUCUAAAUUGUGAUUUAAUACUUGUCUAAAAGAUGUCUCUAACAUAAAAGAGCAAUAUUGCUUAUUUCUAUUUUAUGUAGUUAAUAAUAGUUAGUUAUGUCAAAAUGUAGUUGACUAUGUUUGACCUGGACUCAAUCUGAACUUAAAUUUUUAGAUUAGGGCCCGAUUAACAUGGAUCCGAUCCGAUCCGAUCCGAAUAAUCUAUUGGGUCGAAAAUUUUGGCUAUAGAUCCUACUUGAUCUUCUAUUUGGUUGAUUUAACUCUAAUAUUAAGACUCGAUCAGCUAGGUUGGAUCAGGGUCACUUAUAACCCAAUCUUACCUGAUCCAUUUGCACCCUUAGUAAUAACUGA
rnacentral:lncRNA from 1 species